GUCCACGCCGUAAACGAUGGAUACUAGCUGUUCGGAGCAAUUCUGAGUGGCUAAGCGAAGUGAUAAGUAUCCCACCUGGGAGUACGUUCGCAAGAAUGAAACUCAAAGGAAUUGAUGGGGCCCGCACAAGCGGUGGAGCAUGUGGUUUAAUUCGAUGAUACGCGAGGAACCUUACCAGGGCUUAAAUGUAGUCUGACAGGCUUGGAAACAGGUUUUCUUCGGACAGAUUACAAGGUGCUGCAUGGUUGUCGU
rnacentral:rRNA from 1 species